rnacentral:rRNA from 1 species
UACGGAGGGUGCGAGCGUUGUCCGGAAUCACUGGGCGUAAAGGGCGCGUAGGCGGCUGAGGCAGUCGGUGGUGAAAGCUCGUGGCUCAACCCUGGAAUAGCCUUCGAUACUGGAUGUCUUGAGUUCGGGAGAGGUGAGUGGAACUCCGAGUGUAGAGGUGAAAUUCGUAGAUAUUCGGAAGAACACCAGUGGCGAAGGCGACUCACUGGCCCGAUACUGACGCUGAGGCGCGAAAGCGUGGGGAGCAAACAGG